ACUCAAAGGAAUUGACGGGGGCCCGCACAAGCAGCGGAGCAUGUUCUUUAAUUCGACGCAACGCGAAGAACCUUACCAGGGCUUGACAUGCACGGGAAUGUCAUAGAGAUAUGGCAGCCCUUCGGGGCUCGUGCACAGGUGUUGCAUGGCCGUCGUCAGCUCGUGUCGUGAGAUGUUGGGUUAAGUCCCGCAACGAGCGCAACCCCUGUCCCUAGUUGCCAGCGGAUAAUGCCGGGGACUCUAGGGAGACUGCCGGCGACAAGUCGGAGGAAGGUGGGGAUGAUGUCAGGUCAGCAUGACCCUUAUGUCCUGGGCUAGAAACGUGCUACAUUGGCCGGUACAAAGGGCUGCAAACCCGUGAGGGGGAGCGAAUCCCAAAAAACCGGUCCCGGUUCGGAUUGGAGGCUGAAACUCGCCUCCAUGAAGGCGGAGUUGCUAGUAAUCGCGGAUCAGCAACGCCGCGGUGAAUACGUUCUCGGGCCUUGUACACACCGCCCGU
rnacentral:rRNA from 1 species